rnacentral:sRNA from 1 species
UCCUCAGUCUUGCAGUUGGGGGAAGGGGGAGUCAUGGAGAGAGAAGAGGCUGGUUCCGGGUUCACAGGGCAGUGAAAUGGGAAACCAGAAGGCAGGACUGGUGGUGUCCUGGGAGCAGUCUGGGGAGCUAGCAUCACAGCCCUGGUUUUCCUCUGUGUUUGCUUCAUCUUCAGAGUGAAGACUAGAAGGAAGAAAGCAGCCCAGCCAGUGCAAAACACGGAUGAUGUGAACCCCGUCAUGGUCUCAGGCUCCAGGGGUCAUCAGCACCAGUUCCAGACAGGCAUAGUUUCAGGCCACCCUGCUGAGGCUGGCCCCAUCUCAGAAGAUGAGCAGGAGCUCCACUACGCUGCCCUACGCUUCCACAAGGUGCAACCUCAGGAACCAAAGGUCACCGACACUGAGUACUCAGAAAUCAAGAUACACAAGUGAGGAAUUGUCCAAAGCCAUAACCUUGAUUGGAGAGAACAUGGUACCUCUCAGUGUAUUGGUUACUAGGGCUGCCACAGCAACGUACCACAAACUGAGUGACGUAAACACAGAACUUU